CUAAGGUAGCGAAAUUCCUUGUCGGGUAAGUUCCGACCCGCACGAAAGGCGUAACGAUUUGGGCACUGUCUCAACAAUAGACUCGGUGAAAUUGUAAUCCCGGUGAAGAUGCCGGGUACCUGCGACAGGACGGAAAGACCCCAUGGAGCUUUACUGUAGCUUGACGUUGGGUCUUGGUACUACAUGUACAGGAUAGGUGGGAGACUAUGAAGCAUGGACGCCAGUCUGUGUGGAGUCAUCCUUGGGAUACCACCCUUGUAGUACUGGGAUCCUAACCAUAGGCCUUGAAUCAGGUCUUGGAACACCGUCAGGUGGGCAGUUUGACUGGGGCGGUCGCCUCCUAAAAAGUAACGGAGGCGCUCAAAGGUUUCCUCAGCACGGUCGGAAAUCGUGCGAAGAGUGUAAAGGCAAAAGGAAGCUUGAUUGCAAGACAUACAGGUCGAGCAAGGACGAAAGUCGGACUUAGUGAUCCGGUGGUUCCGCAUGGAAGGGCCAUCGCUCAACGGAUAAAAGCUACCCUGGGGAUAACAGGCUUAUCUCCCCCAAGAGUCCACAUCGACGGGGAGGUUUGGCACCUCGAUGUCGGCUCAUCACAUCCUGGGGCUGUAGUAGGUCCCAAGGGUUGGGCUGUUCGCCCAUUAAAGUGGUACGCGAGCUGGGUUCAGAACGUCGUGAGACAGUUCGGUCCCUAUCCGUCGCAGGCGUAGGAAAUUUGAGAAGACCUGUCCUUAGUACGAGAGGACCGGGAUGGACGUACCUCUGGUGUACCAGUUGUUCUGCCAAGGGCAUGGCUGGGUAGCUAUGUACGGAAUGGAUAAGCGCUGAAAGCAUCUAAGCGCGAAGCCAACUUCAAGAUAAGAUUUCCCACCGUAAGGGUAAGACCCCAGGAAGACUACCUGGUUGAUAGGUCGAAGGUGUAAGUGCAGUAAUGUAUUUAGCUUAUCGAUACUAAUAGGUCGAGGACUUGACCAA
rnacentral:rRNA from 1 species